GUAGGGAAUAUUGCACAAUGGGCGAAAGCUUGAUGCAGCAACGCCGCGUGCGGGAUGAAGGCCUUCGGGUUGUAAACCGCUUUUCUGAGGGAAGAGUAAGGACGGUACCUCAGGAAUAAGUCUCGGCUAACUACGUGCCAGCAGCCGCGGUAAUACGUAGGAGGCGAGCGUUAUCCGGAUUUACUGGGCGUAAAGCGCGUGCAGGCGGUAUGGUAAGUUGGAUGUGAAAUCUCUUGGCUCAACUAAGAGACGUCGUUCAAAACUACCAAACUAGAGAACGGCAGAGGAAGGUAGAAUUCCCGGUGUAGUGGUGAAAUGCGUAGAUAUCGGGAGGAAUACCAGUGGCGAAGGCGGCCUUCUGGGCCGUUUCUGACGCUCAGACGCGAAAGCAUGGGUAGCGAACGGGAUUAGAUACCCCAGUAGUCC
rnacentral:rRNA from 1 species